CUCCCAAGAGAACAUUUAGCCAAUGGAGAAUGGAGUUAAACUAACGUGUGUUCCCCAAAAUUUAUGAUUUCAUCUUACUUCAUCAGAAUUCUCUAAAUGAAAAGGGCCGAAGAACUUGAAAACAUCUUCAUUCACAAAGCAGACGCCCACUGUAUUCCCAAGUGACUCACCAUAACCCUUCCCCUCGCUUGCUUUGUUGUGACCAGCAAAGAGGAAACAAGAGGGCUAUUUUGGGGCUGGGAAGAAGUGACAUGUACCUCUUGGUAAAUUUGAUUGAAUAAAUGUUGUCUGCAUCCAUUUGUAACAUCAAAAUGCUUAGAUCCAUUUGAUGCCAAAGGAUUCAAGUUCAUCUCUCCAUGCUGUCAUUUUCUGCUGUGAAUAAGAUGCCGGGCGAGACAUUUUGCCUGUAGAGAGCACAUUCAUGCUCGGCAUUAUACAAACAAAAAGGUAUUUCAUAACCAUGCAGCCAGCAGUGUCAGAAGAAUGCCUUUUGCCUAUAUGUCAGGAAAUAGUCCAGUGAGCCAUAUGGAACUUCCUCUCUUUCUUUGGUUGCUUCUUUUUUGUUUGUUUGUUUUAAACCCCCUACCUCCCAUCUGAGAAUCAAUACUGUGUAUUAGUUCCAGGGCAGAAGAGCAGGAAGGGUUAAGCAAUGGGGGUGAAGUGGUUUACCCAGGGCACCACAGCCAGGAAGUGCCUGAGGCCCUAUUUGAACCCAGGACCCCCCAUUUCUAGGCCUGACUCUCAAUUCUUUGAGUCACCUCAAUGCUCCUGAUUGUUGUUGUUGUUGUUGUUUUAAUACUGUACUUACACCACCUUCUGCAUGGGUACUUUUAGUUCUUACGUUUGCAACAUUUCUAAAGAAAAUAUCUUUGUGAUUGUUUUUUUCCUUCUAUUUUUAAAUAAAAUCAUCUUUGACUCUUCCCUAUAUCUCAUUCCCUAAAUUCAAAUCAGUUACCAAGUCUUAUCAGUUCUAGCUGCAAAGUGUCUCUUGGAUCAAACUACUCUCUUCACUCAGUCAUACACUCAGAUACAUAUUUGGUGUGUGUGUGUGUGUGUGUGUGUGUGUGUGUGUGUGUGUGUGUGUGUGUGUGAGAGACAGAGAGACAGAGACAGAGACAAACAGAGACAGAGAGAGACAAUGAGUCAGAGACAGAGAGAGGGAGGCAUAUCUAGGGUAAAUUUGGAGAUAGUAGGGAUGGUGUUAGAGGAAUGUGACAUGAGACUAGGAGUAGAGGGAGCAAUUAACUUUAAUUUUUAUCAGUGA
rnacentral:lncRNA from 1 species